UGGGUCUGGCUGUAGGGAGCUAGAGACAGGGUACCUGACUGGAGCAGAGUUUGGGGAAAGGCAGAGGAGCUGGGGAGCGCCUGCUUGGAAAGCCCCAGCCUGCAGUCUGGCAUUGGCCUAAUAGGUACUGGGGGUUGCAGAGGGCAGACCAGGGGUAGGUAAAGGCAGCAGGUCCAAGCCUAAUGUUGCCAGUGAUGAGUAGGCUGAUACUGCAGUCUGCCCUGAGGUAUGGGCCUAGAUGAUGACUGGCAGUAGCCUGAUACUGAGGCAAGGUGAGGAGAGUGGGUGGGGUUUCCCCUGGGGAGGGGAGACCCUAAGAGAGACUACUGCCAGGAAGCAGCACUCCAGUUAAAGGGGCACUGGAUCCAGGGAGGAACAUGGGGACCAGAGGACAGGCAGAUCACCGGCCUGCAAAGGGUGAUCUGGACCUGGAAUAAGCUAAUUCCCAGAUGUCAUCAGCAGGAGGCGCCACAGGGGAAGCCUUCAUUGAAUUCUGGAAGAAGUGGUCCUGACCUAGAGAAUUUGGUCAAUCAGACUGCUGAAAGCAUAUGACUCAAACACUUAUUUGAGAGGCUGAAGAAAGAUAUUAAUGCUGCAACAUUGAAGAGCACUGAAGGG